rfam:Sorghum bicolor cultivar BTx623 chromosome 2, whole genome shotgun sequence.
GUAGUCGGAUUCGCAUCAAUCCAUACAUGUUGGUGUGGAUUGGAGUAGAACUUGAACUAAAUUUCACUCCAAUCCACUCCAACACAUGUGGAUUGAGGUGAAUCCGACA